AUUGAACGCUGGCGGCAGGCUUAACACAUGCAAGUCGAGCGGGGGAAGGUAGCUUGCUACCGGACCUAGCGGCGGACGGGUGAGUAAUGCUUAGGAAUCUGCCUAUUAGUGGGGGACAACAUCUCGAAAGGGAUGCUAAUACCGCAUACGUCCUACGGGAGAAAGCAGGGGAUCUUCGGACCUUGCGCUAAUAGAUGAGCCUAAGUCGGAUUAGCUAGUUGGUGGGGUAAAGGCCUACCAACGCGACGAUCUGUAGCGGGUCUGAGAGGAUGAUCCGCCACACUGGGACUGAGACACGGCCCAGACUCCUACGGGAGGCAGCAGUGGGGAAUAUUGGACAAUGGGGGGAACCCUGAUCCAGCCAUGCCGCGUGUGUGAAGAAGGCCUUAUGGUUGUAAAGCACUUUAAGCGAGGAGGAGGCUACUUUAGUUAAUACCUAGAGAUAGUGGACGUUACUCGCAGAAUAAGCACCGGCUAACUCUGUG
rnacentral:rRNA from 1 species